rnacentral:lncRNA from 12 species
UGUUCCUCUUAUCCACUAAUAGUUUCUCACGUCCACUCACAAAACCGAGUUUGCCAGGUUCACUUCAGACUUGGAAACAGGGCACACUUCUUAUCAAAGCACAAACGAAGCACAGGGGUGUCAUCUCCCUCUCCUGUUGCAGGGGCUGACUUUGGAGUGUUCUGUCCACGCAAGGUCUCUCCAGUAACAAUGAUGUCUCAUGCACAGUAAACCCUGAAGGUUCGGGGAGGCAUUCUGUGGCCACACUGGAAAGAACCAUGGGAGUGUUUGCACUGAGUGACCCGACAGGAGAUGGAAGAGUCUGGUUUUCCUCUCCAUACUGCACCAGGCAGAUCCUUGGGAUGAGUUUCCUGCUCGGCAACAUGAGAGGACAUGGGACAGUCUGCACACUGCGCGCUGGUCACAGAGAGCAUCUAACCCAAACCCGGGAACCUAGAACCAUCUGUGGAGGCAACCAAGAACCAUCUGAAGAUUUUUUGUAAAAUAUUUUAUUUUUAUUUAUUUGAGAGAGAGAGAGAGAACAAGCAGGAGGGCCAGACACAGACGGAGAGAAUCUCAAGCAGACUCCCCACUGAGUGCAGAGCUCCAUGUGGGGCUCGAUCUCAAGAUCCUGAAAUCAUGACCUGAGUUGAAACUCAAAAGUUGGACGCCCAACCAACCCAACCACCAGGCGCCACUUUCUGAGAGUUUUAAACAAAGGAAUGACAGACUCUGAAGGAAGCCCUAUAGGAUGCAUAGGGUUCCUGGACCACCUUUCCGUCGUUCAGCAUCUGUCUCUCUUCCACUGUGUUCCACGCUGCACCUCUGGAGUCCUGCAGAGUGCCCCAGCACAGUGGGGCGGCAGUGAGAUGCCUCCUCUCCUUGUUCUCCAGCUUCCCUCUCCUUGUCCUCAGCUGAUCACCCUACCCUGACUCUCAUUUCAGUGAGAAAGAGAAGCCAUUGAGAGGGAGCCACCACACCUUCCCACCACUGGCCUCUUGAACCUCGCUGCUAGAAAGCAGCCCUGCUCUAAUGCUAGCCAGCCCCUGGGGUGGUGGCCUCAGCCCCUCUGCUCUGCUCCAGGACUUCACCCUGCUUUCUCCUCCUCCUCCCUGGAAUCAUCCUGUCUUUCCUCUCCACUGGCUCUGCUCACCAGCAUGCUUAAAUAUAAAAAUAAGUAAACUAAUCAAAAAGUCCCCUUUUCCAUUUUUUUGCUCCCCUUGAUGGUAGAACUCCUCAGGGGGCUUGACUCUACCCAUUUUGUCACUUCCUUACCUGCAAGUUUGACUAGACCGUCAUCAGUACAUUUCUACUGGGCUUUGUCAAGGUCACAAUGCCUUCAAUUUUGCUAUAUUACACGUCUUGUCUUCUCUCCCCUCUCUGUAGCAUUGGACACCUGAUCCAUCCCUCCCCUGGAAAUUCUUCCUUUGCUAGGCUUUAAGGGCACCAUGCUUUCCUGGGGGGUUUGGUCUCUCCAAUUAAGCUUUGAGGUCCAUGGAGAUGGAGAGUGAUCUGGGCCAUUUCCUCCUUUCUCCUGAGCAUUCAUAUGUGUGCCUGGCACUCAAGAAAGGUUUACUGAAAGAUGGAAUGAGUAAAUGGGUCAUCCUUCCUGCAGUGCCCCACAGAGCACAGAAGCCAUGCAGGUGAACACUUAAUGAGGGCAAUCAUUUCCUAAGGCGGCUGUAAUAAAUAUCCAUACAUUUACUUAAAAGGACA